UACGAAGGGGGCUAGCGUUGCUCGGAUUGACUGGGCGUAAAGGGCGCGUAGGCGGUUCGUACAGUCAGACGUGAAAUCCCUCGGCUCAACCGGGGAACUGCGUCCGAUACUUCCGAGCUGGAGGUAGGUAGGGGAGAUCGGAAUUCCUGGUGUAGCGGUGAAAUGCGCAGAUAUCUGGAGGAACACCGGUGGCGAAGGCGGCGUUCUGGACUGCAACUGACACUGAGGAACGAAAGCCAGGGGAGCAAACGGG
rnacentral:rRNA from 1 species